GACGAACGCUGGCGGCGUGCUUAACACAUGCAAGUCGAACGGAAAGGCCCUGCUUUUGUGGGGUGCUCGAGUGGCGAACGGGUGAGUAACACGUGAGUAACCUGCCCUUGACUUUGGGAUAACUUCAGGAAACUGGGGCUAAUACCGGAUAGGAGCUCCUGCUGCAUGGUGGGGGUUGGAAAGUUUCGGCGGUUGGGGAUGGACUCGCGGCUUAUCAGCUUGUUGGUGGGGUAGUGGCUUACCAAGGCUUUGACGGGUAGCCGGCCUGAGAGGGUGACCGGCCACAUUGGGACUGAGAUACGGCCCAGACUCCUACGGGAGGCAGCAGUGGUGAAUAUUGCACAAUGGGCGGAAGCCUGAUGCAGCAACGCCGCGUGCGGGAUGACGGCCUUCGGGUUGUAAACCGCUUUCGCCUGUGACGAAGCGUGAGUGACGGUAAUGGGUAAAGAAGCACCGGCUAACUACGUGCCAGCAGCCGCGGUGAUACGUAGGGUGCGAGCGUUGUCCGGAUUUAUUGGGCGUAAAGGGCUCGUAGGUGGUUGAUCGCGUCGGAAGUGUAAUCUUGGGGCUUAACCCUGAGCGUGCUUUCGAUACGGGUUGACUUGAGGAAGGUAGGGGAGAAUGGAAUUCCUGGUGGAGCGGUGGAAUGCGCAGAUAUCAGGAGGAACACCAGUGGCGAAGGCGGUUCUCUGGGCCUUUCCUGACGCUGAGGAGCGAAAGCGUGGGGAGCGAACAGGCUUAGAUACCCUGGUAGUCCACGCUGUAAACGGUGGGUACUAGGUGUGGGGUCCAUUCCACGGGUUCCGUGCCGUAGCUAACGCUUUAAGUACCCCGCCUGGGGAGUACGGCCGCAAGGCUAAAACUCAAAGGAAUUGACGGGGCCCCGCACAAGCGGCGGAGCAUGCGGAUUAAUUCGAUGCAACGCGUAGAACCUUACCUGGGUUUGACAUGGAUCGGGAGUGCUCAGAGAUGGGUGUGCCUCUUUUGGGGUCGGUUCACAGGUGGUGCAUGCCUGUCGUCAGCUCGUGUCGUGAGAUGUUGGGUUAAGUCCCGCAACGAGCGCAACCCUUGUUCACUGUUGCCAGCACGUUAUGGUGGGGACUCAGUGGAGACCGCCGGGGUCAACUCGGAGGAAGGUGGGGAUGACGUCAAGUCAUCAUGCCCCUUAUGUCCAGGGCUUCACGCAUGCUACAAUGGCUGGUACAGAGAGUGGCGAGCCUGUGAGGGUGAGCGAAUCUCGGAAAGCCGGUCUCAGUUCGGAUUGGGGUCUGCAACUCGACCUCAUGAAGUCGGAGUCGCUAGUAAUCGCAGAUCAGCAACGCUGCGGUGAAAACGUUCCCGGGGCU
rnacentral:rRNA from 1 species